CCCGGGUUCACGCCAUUCUCCUGCCUCAGCCUCCCUCAGCCUCCGGAGUAGCUAGGACUACAGGCAUCCGCUACCACGCCCGGCUAAAUUUUUUGUAUUUUUAGUAGAGACGGGGUUUCACCGUGUUAGCCAGGAUGGUCUCCAUCUCCUGACCUCGUGAUCCGCCCGCCUCGGCCUCCCAAAGUGUUGGGAUUACAGGCGUGAGCCACCGCGCCCGGCCAGUCAGAGUGUCCAUGUAACUAACUCCUGGUUAAGAGAAUAUGAGUUAUGAGUAGAAGGCACACGUUCAGCUUCUGGCUUCUGUCCUUGGAAAGAGUGAUGAUUCCAUCCUUUGCUGGCUUUCUUCCUUCCCACUGACUGGAAUGUGGACUUGGUAGUGAGCUACCUUGGACUAUGUGGAUGAAGACAAAGAUAAAAGGAACCAAGGACUCUGAUGAUUCUGUAGAGAAGAGGAACGAUAGCUGCUCAAACUUUCACAUGAAAGAAGAAUAAACUAUCAGAUUUAAGCCACUGCUAUUUUGGGUCUUUGUGAUAAACAGUGUUUACCAUAUCCUAAUUCACUAUUCCUUCCAUUUCUAGGUUGACGAUGUUGAAUUAAAUAUGGUGCUCUAACUUGCAA
rnacentral:lncRNA from 1 species